GUCGCGAUGGCCGAGUGGUUAAGGCGUUGGACUAGAAAUCCAAUGGGGUUUCCCGCGCAGGUUCGAAUCCUGCUUGCGACG
rfam:Macrostomum lignano unitig_42361, whole genome shotgun sequence.